UACGUAGGUGACAAGCGUUGUCCGGAUUUACUGGGCGUAAAGAGCGCGCAGGCGGUCGUUCAAGUCGAGUGUGAAAGCCCCCGGCUCAACUGGGGAGGGUCACUCGAUACUGAUCGACUCGAAGGCAGGAGAGGGAAGUGGAAUUCCCGGUGUAGUGGUGAAAUGCGUAGAUAUCGGGAGGAACAUCAGUGGCGAAGGCGGCCUCUGGUCCAGUACUGACACUCAAGUGCGAAA
rnacentral:rRNA from 1 species